AGACGCUGAAGAGAGGAGCUUGCUCUUCUUGGAUGAGUUGCGAACGGGUGAGUAACGCGUAGGUAACCUGCCUUGUAGCGGGGGAUAACUAUUGGAAACGAUAGCUAAUACCGCAUAACAAUGGAUGACACAUGUCAUUUAUUUGAAAGGGGCAAUUGCUCCACUACAAGAUGGACCUGCGUUGUAUUAGCUAGUAGGUGAGGUAAUGGCUCACCUAGGCGACGAUACAUAGCCGACCUGAGAGGGUGAUCGGCCACACUGGGACUGAGACACGGCCCAGACUCCUACGGGAGGCAGCAGUAGGGAAUCUUCGGCAAUGGGGGCAACCCUGACCGAGCAACGCCGCGUGAGUGAAGAAGGUUUUCGGAUCGUAAAGCUCUGUUGUAAGUCAAGAACGGGUGUGAGAGUGGAAAGUUCACACUGUGACGGUAGCUUACCAGAAAGGGACGGCUAACUACGUGCCAGCAGCCGCGGUAAUACGUAGGUCCCGAGCGUUGUCCGGAUUUAUUGGGCGUAAAGCGAGCGCAGGCGGUUUGAUAAGUCUGAAGUUAAAGGCUGUGGCUCAACCAUAGUUCGCUUUGGAAACUGUCAAACUUGAGUGCAGAAGGGGAGAGUGGAAUUCCAUGUGUAGCGGUGAAAUGCGUAGAUAUAUGGAGGAACACCGGUGGCGAAAGCGGCUCUCUGGUCUGUAACUGACGCUGAGGCUCGAAAGCGUGGGGAGCGAACAGGAUUAGAUACCCUGGUAGUCCACGCCGUAAACGAUGAGUGCUAGGUGUUGGAUCCUUUCCGGGAUUCAGUGCCGCAGCUAACGCAUUAAGCACUCCGCCUGGGGAGUACGACCGCAAGGUUGAAACUCAAAGGAAUUGACGGGGGCCCGCACAAGCGGUGGAGCAUGUGGUUUAAUUCGAAGCAACGCGAAGAACCUUACCAGGUCUUGACAUCCCGAUGCUAUUUCUAGAGAUAGAAAGUUACUUCGGUACAUCGGUGACAGGUGGUGCAUGGUUGUCGUCAGCUCGUGUCGUGAGAUGUUGGGUUAAGUCCCGCAACGAGCGCAACCCCUAUUGUUAGUUGCCAUCAUUCAGUUGGGCACUCUAGCGAGACUGCCGGUAAUAAACCGGAGGAAGGUGGGGAUGACGUCAAAUCAUCAUGCCCCUUAUGACCUGGGCUACACACGUGCUACAAUGGUUGGUACAACGAGUUGCGAGUCGGUGACGGCGAGCUAAUCUCUUAAAGCCAAUCUCAGUUCGGAUUGUAGGCUGCAACUCGCCUACAUGAAGUCGGAAUCGCUAGUAAUCGCGGAUCAGCACGCCGCGGUGAAUACGUUCCCGGGCCUUGUACACACCGCCCGUCACACCACGAGAGUUUGUAACACCCGAAGUCGGUGA
rnacentral:rRNA from 1 species